rnacentral:rRNA from 1 species
AUCGAACGCUGGCGGCAGGCCUAACACAUGCAAGUCGAGCGACCGGCGGAUGGGUGAGUAAUGCCUGGGAAUUGCCUAGCCGAGGGGGAUAACAGUUGGAAACGACUGCUACCACCGCAUAUUAUCUGAUUGCUCACGUGGGAUUAGCUAGUUGGUGAGGUAAUGGCUCACCAAGGCGACGAUCCCUAGCUGGUCUGAGAGGAUGAUCGGCCACACUGGGACUGAGACACGGUCCAGACUCCUACGGGAGGCAGCAGUGGGGAAUAUUGGACAAUGGGGGGAAGCCUGAUGCAGCAAUGCCGCGUGUGUGAAGAAGGCCUUCGGAUUGUAAAGCACUGUCAGCAGGGAAGCGUUACUCGAAGAAGAAAGACCCGCUAACUCCGUGCCAACAGCCGCGGUAAUUC